GACGAACCGAGCGAACGUUGUUCGGAAUCACUGGGCUUAAAGGGCGCGUAGGCGGGCCGUCAAGUCCGUGGUGAAAUCCUCCAGCUCAACUGGAGAAGUGCCUCGGAUACUGGCGGCCUCGAGGGGGGGUAGGGGCGUGCGGAACUUCCGGUGGAGCGGUGAAAUGCGUAGAUAUCGGAAGGAACACCGGUGGCGAAGGCGGCCAACUGGACGAAUACUGACGCUGAGACACGAAAGCGUGGGGAGCAAACAGG
rnacentral:rRNA from 1 species